AGUUGCCUACGGGACGCAGCAGUAGGGAAUCUUCCACAAUGGGCGAAAGCCUGAUGGAGCAACGCCGCGUGGGUGAAGAAGGUCUUCGGAUCGUAAAACCCUGUUGUUAGAGAAGAAAGUGCGUGAGAGUAACUGUUCACGUUUCGACGGUAUCUAACCGGAAAGCCACGGCUAACUACGUGCCAGCAGCCGCGGUAAUACGUAGGUGGCAAGCGUUAUCCGGAUUUACUGGGCGUAAAGAGAACGCAGGCGGUCUUUUAAGUCUGAUGUGAAAGCCUUCGGCUUAACCGGAGUAGGGCAUUGGA
rnacentral:rRNA from 1 species